AUUGAACGCUGGCGGCAGGCCUAACACAUGCAAGUCGAACGAGUGCCGGACGGGUGAGUAAUGCCUGGGAAACUGCCUGAUGGAGGGGGAUAACUACUGGAAACGGUAGCUAAUACCGCAUACCAUAAGAUGUGCCCAGAUGGGAUUAGCUAGUUGGUGGGGUAACGGCUGACCAAGGCGACGAUCCCUAGCUUGUCUGAGAGGAUGCCCAACCACACUGAAACUGGGACACGGGCCAGACUCCUACGGGAGGCAGCAGUGGGGAAUAUUGCACAAUGGGCGCAAGCCUGAUACAGCCAUACCGCGUGUAUGAAGAAGGCCUUCGGGUUGUAAAGUACUUUAAGCGGUGAGGCGUUACCCGCAGAAGAAGCACCGGGUAACUCCGUGCCAGCAGCCGCGGUAAUAC
rnacentral:rRNA from 1 species